GUGUCAGCCGCCGCGGUAAUACGAAGGUGGCAAGCGUUACUCGGAAUUACUAGGCGUAAAGGGCAGGUAGGUGGUUUGGUAAGUCUGUUGUGAAAGCUCCUUGCUUAACGGGGAGAGGCCAACAGAUACUGCCAGGCUUGAGUAUAGGAGAGGGUACUGGAAUUCCCGGUGUAGCGGUGAAAUGCGCAGAGAUCGGGAGGAACACCAAUGGCGAAAGCAGGUACCUGGACUAUUACUGACACUCAGCUGCGAAAGCUAGGGGAGCAAACAGGAUUAGAUACCCUCGUAGUCC
rnacentral:rRNA from 1 species